rnacentral:rRNA from 1 species
ACGAACGCUGGCGGCGUGCCUAACACAUGCAAGUCGAGCGGGACAUGCGACGGAGUUGAAGUUUUCGGAUGGAUACGAAGAUGUAUGUUCUAGCGGCGGACGGGUGAGUAGCGCGUGAGCAACCUGUCCCUUACAGGGGAUAACACAGCGAAAGUUGUACUAAUACCGCAUAAGACCACAGUAUCACAUGGUAGAGGGGUCAAAGGAGUAAUCCGGUAAGGGGUGGCUCGCGUCCGAUUAGAUAGUUGGUGAGGUAACGGCCCACCAAGUCGACGAUCGGUAGCCGACCUGAGAGGGUGAUCGGCCACAUUGGGACUGAGACACGGCCCAAACUCCUACGGGAGGCAGCAGUGGGAAUAUUGGGCAAUGGGGGGAAAACCCCCUGACCCAGCAACGCCGCGUGAGGGAAGAAGGUUUUCGGAUCGUAAACCUCUGUCCUUGGUGAAGAGGAAGAGACGGUAGCCAAGGAGGAAGCCCCGGCUAACUACGUGCCAGCCGCAGC